rnacentral:SRP_RNA from 1 species
GCUGGGUGUGGUGGUGCACACCUGUAGUCCCAGCUACUUAGGAAGCUGAGGCAGGAGGAUAGCUUGAACCCAGGAGGUGGAGGUUGCAGUGAGCUGAGACUGUGCCAUUGUACUCCAGCCUGGGUGACAAAGCAAGACUCUGUCUCUC